UGGGGAAUAUUGGACAAUGGGGGCAACCCUGAUCCAGCAAUGCCGCGUGUGUGAAGAAGGCCUGCGGGUUGUAAAGCACUUUCAAUCGUGAAGAAAAGCUUGCGGCUAAUAUCCGCAAGUCUUGACGUUAACGAUACAAGAAGCACCGGCUAACUCCGUGCCAGCAGCCGCGGUAAUACGGAGGGUGCGAGCGUUAAUCGGAAUUACUGGGCGUAAAGAGCACGUAGGCGGUCUGGUCAGUCGGAUGUGAAAGCCCCGGGCUUAACCUGGGAAUUGCACUCGAUACUGCCAGGCUAGAGUUCGGUAGAGGAAUGCGGAAUUCCGGGUGUAGCGGUGAAAUGCGUAGAGAUCCGGAAGAACAUCAGUGGCGAAGGCGGCAUUCUGGGCUGAAACUGACGCUGAGGUGCGAAAGCGUGGGGAGCAAACAGG
rnacentral:rRNA from 2 species